AUAAAAUAAAACCAAACCUUGUCUGGAAUAUUAUACAAUGACGGGGUAUUCUAAGACUUAGUACAACGAAUGACAGAAUUGGACAAUGGAUAGCUGAAGACUUGGUAUUGCGCAACUUGACAAUGUUCAGCAAUUGACAUGGAAACACACGAGGAAUUACCGUAUAGUCUGGUAAGAAUGCUGCCGAUUUGCGACCUGUACCAAAACAAAAGUCUAACUGAGUCAUACCAGCUACACCAAUCUAGCAAUACAAAUCAUCGAUUUAUUUAUGUAAUAAAAAUGUUAUCAAUACAAUAAAUAUAUAAAAUUGUU
rnacentral:sRNA from 1 species